UACGUAGGGACCGAGCGUUGUCCGGAUUCAUUGGGCGUAAAGAGCUCGUAGGCGGCUGCUCAAGUCGAAUGUGAAAACUCGAGGCUCAACCUCGAGCCUGCAUUCGAUACUGGGCGGCUAGAGUCUGGUAGGGGGAUCUGGAAUUCCUGGUGUAGCGGUGGAAUGCGCAGAUAUCGAGAGGAACACCAGUGGCGAAGGCGAGUCCCUGGACAACACCUGACACUGAGGCACGAAAGCUAGGGGAGCAAACAGG
rnacentral:rRNA from 1 species